GUUUUUGUAUAAAAUCAUCAAAAUCGGAGCUCAAAUUACCGUUAAAUUGUGAUUUUUCGUUUAUAACCGUCGAAAACUUUUGUUCCGUUACUUAAUCUCUGAAUGUUUGUUUUUUACGAUUUUUUACGUAUGCGAUCUCGAAAUGUGUACAAAUAAUUUUGACGGUUGGAUCGUUGAAAAAAGUUUCGUAGAAUGCAUAUUG
rnacentral:lncRNA from 1 species